rnacentral:lncRNA from 1 species
GAUGGAAGACUUCAUUCAAAAAUCAAUCAUAUGCAGAUUUGAUUUACUGCAUACUAUCAUCAUGGACAAUGGUCGGUAAUUUGAUAAUCAGAACUUCAAAAAGUUCUGUGCGAAAUUUCACAUUACGCACAAACUCACAUCAAUCAGCCAUCCACAAUCCAACAGAGAAGUGGAAGUAACAAACCAAACAACAAGCUGACUUAUAGGCAUACCGAACAACAACC